UGGGGAAUAUUGGACAAUGGGGGGAACCCUGAUCCAGCCAUGCCGCGUGUGUGAAGAAGGUCUUCGGAUUGUAAAGCACUUUAAGUUGGGCGGAAGGGCAGUAAGCGAAUACCUUGCUGUUUUGACGUUACCGACAGAAUAAGCACCGGCUAACUCUGUGCCAGCAGCCGCGGUAAUACAGAGGGUGCAAGCGUUAAUCGGAAUUACUGGGCGUAAAGCGCGCGUAGGUGGUUCGUUAAGUUGAAUGUGAAAGCCCCGGGCUCAACCUGGGAACUGCAUCCAAAACUGGCGAGCUAGAGUAGGGCAGAGGGUGGUAGAAUUUCCUGUGUAGCGGUGAAAUGCGUAGAUAUAGGAAGGAACACCAGUGGCGAAGGCGACCACCUGGGCUCAUACUGACACUGAGGUGCGAAAGCGUGGGGAGCAAACAGG
rnacentral:rRNA from 1 species